rnacentral:rRNA from 1 species
UAGGGAAUAUUGGGCAAUGGAAGAGAUUCUGACCCAGCCAUGCCGCGUGCAGGAAGAAGGCCUUCUGGGUUGUAAACUGCUUUUACCAGGGAAGAAAACGCCCCUGCGGGGGUAACUGACGGUACCUGGUGAAUAAGCACCGGCUAACUCCGUGCCAGCAGCCGCGGUAAUACGGAGGGUGCAAGCGUUGUCCGGAUUUAUUGGGUUUAAAGGGUGCGUAGGCGGCCCGUUAAGUCAGCGGUGAAAUCCCGGGGCUCAACCCCGGAACUGCCGUUGAUACUGGCGGGCUUGAGUUCGGUCGAGGCGGGCGGAACUGGCGGUGUAGCGGUGAAAUGCUUAGAUACCGCCAAGAACCCCGAUUGCGUAGGCAGCUCGCUGGGCCGAAACUGACGCUGAGGCACGAAAGCGUGGGGAGCGAACA